UAACCAAAUAUCAACCAUGCAUUCCACUGGCGUCACUGCAGUUCUUUCCAAUGGCCGCGGUUUGAUGCUCAGGUAACUUAAGUGGUCUUUACACGAUGCAUGGGAGAGUAACGGUUUAAGAUGUAUCUCCAGCUGUUGAAAAUGACGGAAGACCUUUUUUCUUUCCGUCGCUAUAAAUCUGAUACAGUUGGUCAUGAUUCUUGCGACAAAA
rnacentral:snoRNA from 1 species